UUCACCUUAGGGGACAAGAAAAAAUUGCCUUUUUUCUCCUGCCAUGGGGGGGCGCUCUUUUGGGGAGAAAAAAUUCCUUCAAAAAUGUGUUGAUGGCUGGACAUUGCAUCAUCCUAGAAAACUUGGAGGCCAGUGAGGACAAAAAUAAAAAGUUAUAAGACUUUUAAGAAUGUGGAUUUUUGGGUUAUCUUUGGCGCCCGCUAGAACCUAAACCGUAGGGUGCAGCGCCAUGAUUUGUACAACUUUGAAUGGCCAUGGGGAGUAGAUUGGCCUGAGCAAAUUUGGUGCCGGUGGAACGAAGGCCUUCGGAGGAGUUAGCCACAUUCCAAUGUGUGCGGAUCGGCAAAAAAUGCAAAAUAGCCCUUUAACCGUACAUUUCACAGAUACGCCUACACUGACUUUUUUGUAGACCUUAUUGAGAUACACGUGUGUGUCAAUUUUUGUGUCAAUAUGACAAAGCGUACAGGCGUGACACUCGAUAGUGUGAAUUUUCACCUUAGGGGGCGCUUUGGAGCCAUUUUGCAAAUAAUUUUUUCAGCGACUUCAGAAUAUCGAAUUUUUUACCAGGCCCGGUCGUCCUGCCAAAUUUCAUGAGUUUUCGCCAGUGGGAAGUGGGCCAUUUUCCCCUUCAAAGGGGAGGAAAAAUAAGAAAAAGAAAGAAAGAACUAGGGCCCCGUUAGGGCACUGGCGGGCCCGAGCCGUGUUGCGCCGCCCCCAGCGCGACCGCCUACCCCUCUUGAUCGCGUCACACUCAAGGUCCAAAGAUGGUGUGCGCACUUGUCUGUGGUCAUUUACCAUUAUAAUGAAUGGGAGGCGCAGUUUCUACCAAAACGCUCGCUGCAGACAAACUCCAUGUCCUUUUUGAAAAAAGUCUGGACCAUGAGUGAGGGCACAAACAGAGCUAGUAUAUAUCCAAAUGGCAAGUUGCUCCUCCUUUCGGUUUUGCCGAGAGAGCGAUGCUUUUGAGCCAUUGAGCGAUAGGCAGGAAAAACUUGACUUUUUCUCCUGCCAUGGGGGGGCGCUCUUUUGGGGAGAAAAAAUUCCUUCACAAAUGUGUUGAUGGCUGGACAUUGCAUCAUCCUAGAAAACUUGGAGGCCAGUGAGGACAAAAAUAAAAAGUUAUAAGACUUUUAAAAAUGUGGAUAUUUGGGUCCUCUUUGGCACCCCCUAGAACGUAAACCGUGGGGUGCAGCGUCAUGAUUUGUACAACUUUGAAUGGCCAUGGGGUGUAGAUUGACCUGAGCAAAUUUGAAGCCGAUGGGAAAAAAGCUUUAGGAGGAGUUAGCCACAUUCCAAUGUGUGCGAAUCGGCAAAAAAUGCGAAAUAGCCCUUUAACCGUACAUUGAACAGAUACGCUCGCAUUGACUUUUUCGUAGAUCUUAUUGAGAUACAUGUGUGUGUCAAAUUUUGUGUCAUUUUGACAAAGCGUAAAGGCGUGACAGUCAACAAUGUGUAUUUUCGCCUUAGGAGACAAGAAAAAAUGGACUUUUUUCUCCUGCCAUGGGGGGGCGCUCUUUUGGCGAGUAAAAAUUCCUUCACAAAUGUGUUGAUGGCUGGACAUUGCAUCAUCCUAGAGAACUUGGAGGCCAGUGAGGACAAAAAUAAAAAGUUAUAAGACUUUUAAGACUGUGGAUUUUUGGGUUAUCUUUGGCGCCCCCUAGAACGUAAACCGUGGGGUGCAGCGUCAUGAUUUGUACAACUUUUAAUGGCCAUGGGGUGUAGAUUGGCCUGAGCAAAUGUGGUGCCGUUGGAACGAAAGCCUUCGGAGGAGUUAGCGAAAUUCCAAUGUGUGCGGAUCGGCAAAAAAUGCGAAAUAACCCUUUAACCGUACAUUUGACAGAUACGCCCGCACUGACUUUUUUGUAGAUCUUAUUGAGAUACAUGUGUGUGUCAAAUUUUGUGUCAUUUUGACAAAGCGUAAAGGAGUGACAGUCAACGAUGUGUAUUUUCGCCUUAGGAGACAAGAAAAAAUGGACAUUUUUCUCCUGCCAUGGGGGGCGCUCUUUUGGCGAGUAAAAAUUCCUUCACAAAUGUGUUGAUGGCUGGACAUUGCAUCAUCCUAGAGAACUUGGAGGCCAGUGAGGACAAAAAUAAAAAGUUAUAAGACUUUUAAGACUGUGGAUUUUUGGGUUAUCUUUGGCGCCCCCUAGAACGUAAACCGUGGGGUGCAGCGUCAUGAUUUGUACAACUUUUAUUGGCCAUGGGGUGUAGAUUGGCCUGAGCAAAUGUGGUGCCGGUGGAACGAAAACCUUCGGAGGAGUUAGCGAAAUUCCAAUGUGUGCGGAUCGGCAAAAAAUGCGAAAUAAACCUUUAACCGUACAUUUGACAGAUACGCCCGCACUGACUUUUUUGUAGAUCUUAUUGAGAUACACGUGUGUGUCAAAUUUUGUGUCAUUUUGACAAAGCGUACAGGCGUGACACUCAAUCAUGUGAAUUUUUCACCUUAGGGGGCGCUAUGGAGCCAUUUUGCAUUUGAUUUUUUGGGCGACUUCAGAAUAUCGAAUUUUUCACCAGGCCCGGUCGUCCUGCCAAAUUUCAUGACUUUUCACCAGUGGGAAGUGGGCCAUUUUCCAGUUCAAAGGGGCAGAAAAAUAAUAAUAAUAAUAAGAAGAAGAAACUAGGGCCCCGUUGGGGCACUGGCGGGCCCGAGCCGUGUCACGCCGCCCCCAGCGCGACCGCCUCCCCCACCCGAUCGCGUCACACUCAAGGUCCAAAGAUGGUGUGCGCACUUGUUUGUGGUCAUUUACCAUUAUAAUGAACGGGAGGCGCAGUUUCUACCAAAACGCUCGCUGCAGAAAAACUCCAUGUCCUAUUUGAAAAAAGUCUGGACCAUGAGUGAGGGCACAAACACAGCUAAGAUAUAUCCAAAUGGCAAGUUGCUCCUCCUUUCGCUUUUGCCGAGAGAGCAGUGCGUUUGAGCCAUUGAAUGAUGAACAGGAAAAACUUGACUUUAUUCUCCUGCCAUGGGGGGGCGCUCUUUUAAAGAGAAAAAACUCCUUCACAAAUGUGUUGAUGGCUGGACAUUGCAUCAUCCUAGAAAACAUGGAGGCCAGUGAGGACAAAAAUAAAAAGUUAUAAGACUUUUAAAUAUGUGGAUUUUAGGGUUAUAUUUGGCGCCCCCUAGAACCUAAACCGUGGGGUGCAGCGUCAUGAUUUGAAUAACUUUUAAUGGCCAUGGGGUGUAGAUUGGCCUGAGCAAAUGUGGUGCCGGUGGAACGAAAGCCUUCGGAGGAAUUAGCGAAAUUCCAAUGUGUGCGAAUCUGCAAAAAAUGCAAAAUAACCCUUUAACCGUACAUCUUACAGAUACGUGGCCAUUGACUUUUUCGAAGAUCUUAUGUAAAUACACGUGUAUGUAAAAUUUUGUGUCAAUACGACAAAACAUACAGGCGUAGCACUCAACAAUGUGUAUUUUCACCUUAGUGGACAAGAAAAAAUUGACUUUUUUCUCCUGCCAUGGGGGGCGCUCUUUUGCCGAGUAAAAAUUCCUUCACAAAUGUGUUGAUGGCUGGACAUUGCAUCAUCCUAGAAAACUUGGAGGCCAGUGGGGACAAAAAUAAAAAGUUAUAAGACUUUUAAAUAUGUGGAUUUUACGGUUAUCUUUGGCUCCCCCUAGAACCUAAACCGUGGGGUGCAGCGUCAUGAUUUGAAUAACUUUUAAUGGCCAUGGGGUGUAGAUUGGCCUGAGCAAAUGUGGUGCCGGUGGAACGAAAGCCUUCGGAGGAGUUAGCGAAAUUCCAAUGUGUGCGGAUCGGCAAAAAAUGCGGAAUAACCCUUUAACCGUACAUUUGACAGAUACGCGCGCAUUGACUUUUUCGUAGAUCUUAUUGAGAUACAUGUGUGUGUCAAUUUUUGUGUCAUUUUGCCAAAGCGUACAGGUGUUACACUCAACAAUGUGUAUUUUCACCUUAGGGGACAAGAAAAAAUG